UCGUUGCUUCGGUGGGCACGCCCGCCGGAGGUUCAAAACUCUUAUUUUUUUCAGUAUCUCUGAGCCUAAAAGACAAAUAAUCAAAACUUUCAACAACGGAUCUCUUGGUUCUGGCAUCGAUGAAGAACGCAGCGAAAUGCGAUAAGUAAUGUGAAUUGCAGAAUUCAGUGAAUCAUCGAAUCUUUGAACGCACAUUGCGCCCGCCGGUAUUCCGGCGGGCAUGCCUGUUCGAGCGUCAUUUCAACCCUCAAGCCUCGGCUUGGUGUUGGGGCGCCCGGGCCCUCCGCGGCCCGGGGCCCCCAAGUUCAUCGGCGGGCUCGUCGGUACACUGAGCGCAGUAAAACGCGGUAAAACGCGAACCUCGUUCGGAUCGUCCCGGCGUGCUCCAGCCGCUAAACCCCCAAUUCUUUAAAGGUUGACCUCGGAUCAGGUAGGAAUACCCGCUGAACUUAAGCAUAUCAAUAAGUCGGAGGAA
rnacentral:rRNA from 1 species